rnacentral:rRNA from 1 species
AGACCCGAAACCCGGUGAUCUAGCCAUGGGCAGGUUGAAGGUUGGGUAACACUAACUGGAGGACCGAACCGACUAAUGUUGAAAAAUUAGCGGAUGACCUGUGGCUGGGGGUGAAAGGCCAAUCAAACCGGGAGAUAGCUGGUUCUCCCCGAAAGCUAUUUAGGUAGCGCCUCGUGAAUUCAUCUCCGGGGGUAGAGCACUGUUUCGGCUAGGGGGCCAUCCCGGCUUACCAACCCGAUGCAAACUGCGAAUACCGGAGAAUGUUAUCACGGGAGACACACGGCGGGUGCUAACGUCCGUCGUGAAGAGGGAAACAACCCAGACCGCCAGCUAAGGUCCCAAAGUCAUGGUUAAGUGGGAAACGAUGUGGGAAGGCCCAGACAGCCAGGAUGUUGGCUUAGAAGCAGCCAUCAUUUAAAGAAAGCGUAAUAGCUCACUGGUCGAGUCGGCCUGCGCGGAAGAUGUAACGGGGCUAAACCAUGCACCGAAGCUGCGGCAGCGACACUCAGGUGUUGUUGGGUAGGGGAGCGUUCUGUAAGUCUGCGAAGGUGGCCUGUGAGGGUUGCUGGAGGUAUCAGAAGUGCGAAUGCUGACAUAAGUAACGAUAAAGCGGGUGAAAAGCCCGCUCGCCGGAAGACCAAGGGUUCCUGUCCAACGUUAAUCGGGGCAGGGUGAGUCGACCCCUAAGGCGAGGCCGAAAGGCGUAGUCGAUGGGAAACGGGUUAAUAUUCCCGUACUUGGUGUUACUGCGAAGGGGGGACGGAGAAGGCUAUGUUGGCCGGGCGACGGUUGUCCCGGUUUAAGCGUGUAGGUGUGUGUUCCAGGUAAAUCCGGUUCACUUUAACACUGAGGCGUGACGACGAGGCACUACGGUGCUGAAGCAA